GACGAACGCUGGCGGCGUGCUUAACACAUGCAAGUCGAACGGUAAGGCCCUUCGGGGUACACGAGUGGCGAACGGGUGAGUAACACGUGGGUGAUCUGCCCUGCACUUCGGGAUAAGCCUGGGAAACUGGGUCUAAUACCGGAUAGGACCCUGGGAUGCAUGUCCUGGGGUGGAAAGCUUUUGCGGUGUGGGAUGGGCCCGCGGCCUAUCAGCUUGUUGGUGGGGUGAUGGCCUACCAAGGCGACGACGGGUAGCCGGCCUGAGAGGGUGACCGGCCACAGUGGGACGGAGAUACGGCCCAGACUCCGACGGGAGGCAGCAGGGGGGAAUAUUGCACAAUGGGGGCAAGCCUGAUGCAGCGACGCCGCGUGAGGGAUGACGGCCUUCGGGUUGUAAACCUCUUUCAGCACCGACGAAGCGCAAGUGACGGUAGGUGCAGAAGAAGGACCGGCCAACUACGUGCCAGCAGCCGCCGUAA
rnacentral:rRNA from 1 species